AUUGAACGCUGGCGGCAUGCUUUACACAUGCAAGUCGAACGGCAGCGCGGGCUUCGGCCUGUCGUCGAGUGGCGAACGGGUGAGUAACACAUCGGUACGUGCCCAGUGGCGGGGGAUUGACUGCCGAAAGCCGGAUUAAUACCCCAUACGACCCUAGGGUGAAAGGGGGGGAGCUUCAAACCUCCCGCGAUUGGAGCUGCCGAUGGCAGAUUUGCUAGUUGGUGGGGUAAAGGCCUACCCAAGCGACGAUCUGUAGCUGGUCUGAGAGGACGACCAGCCACACUGGGACUGAGACACGGCCCAGACUCCUACGGGAGGCAGCAGUGGGGAAUUUUGGACAAUGGGCGAAAGCCUGAUCCAGCAAUGCCGCGUGUGUGAUGAAGGCCUUCGGGUUGUAAAGCACUUUUGGCGGGAACGAAAAGGACUGUGCCAAUACCACGGUUCGAUGACGGUACCCGCAGAAUAAGCACCGGCUAACUACGUG
rnacentral:rRNA from 1 species